rnacentral:rRNA from 1 species
CAGCACCUCAAGUGGUCAGGAUGAUUAUUGGGCCUAAAGCAUCCGUAGCCGGCGCUGUAAGUUUUCGGUUAAAUCUGUACGCUCAACGUACAGGCUGCCGGGAAUACUGCAGCGCUAGGGAGUGGGAGAGGUAGACGGUACUCGGUAGGAAGGGGUAAAAUUCUUUGAUCUAUUGAUGACCACCUGUGGCGAAGGCGGUCUACCAGAACACGUCCGACGGUGAGGGAUGAAAGCUGGGGGAGCAAACCGGAUUAGAGACCCGAGUAGUCC